UACAGAGGGUGCGAGCGUUAAUCGGAAUCACUGGGCUUAAAGCGUUCGUAGGCGGAUCUGUAGGCGCGUUGUGAAAGCCCUCGGCUCAACCGGGGAACUGCUUCGCGAACCACAGAUCUUGAGUCAAGUAGGGGCGAUCGGAACGAUAGGUGGAGCGGUGAAAUGCGUAGAUAUCUAUCGGAACGCCGAAGGUGAAGACAGGUCGCUGGGCUUGUACUGACGCUGAGGAACGAAAGCGUGGGGAGCAAACGGG
rnacentral:rRNA from 1 species